rnacentral:rRNA from 1 species
UGAUCCUACGGGGCGCAGCAGUGGGGAAUUUUGGACAAUGGGCGCAAGCCUGAUCCAGCUAUUCCGCGUGUGGGAUGAAGGCCCUCGGGUUGUAAACCACUUUUGUAGAGAACGAAAAGACACCUUCGAAUAAAGGGUGUUGCUGACGGUACACUAAGAAUAAGCACCGGCUAACUACGUGCCAGCAGCCGCGGUAAUACGUAGGGUGCGAGCGUUAAUCGGAAUUACUGGGCGUAAAGGGUGCGCAGGCGGGUGAGUAAGAAAGAUGUGAAAUCCCCGAGCUUAACUCGGG